GACGAACGCUGGCGGCGUGCUUAACACAUGCAAGUCGAACGAAGAGCGAUGGAAGCUUGCUUCUAUCAAUCUUAGUGGCGAACGGGUGAGUAACGCGUAAUCAACCUGCCCUUCAGAGGGGGACAACAGUUGGAAACGACUGCUAAUACCGCAUACGAUCUAAUCUCGGCAUCGAGGAUAGAUGAAAGGUGGCCUCUACAUGUAAGCUAUCACUGAAGGAGGGGAUUGCGUCUGAUUAGCUAGUUGGAGGGGUAACGGCCCACCAAGGCGAUGAUCAGUAGCCGGUCUGAGAGGAUGAACGGCCACAUUGGGACUGAGACACGGCCCAGACUCCUACGGGAGGCAGCAGUGGGGAAUCUUCCGCAAUGGACGAAAGUCUGACGGAGCAACGCCGCGUGAGUGAUGACGGCCUUCGGGUUGUAAAGCUCUGUUAAUCGGGACGAAAGGCCUUCUUGCGAAUAGUGAGAAGGAUUGACGGUAUCGGAAUAGAAAGCCACGGCUAACUACGUG
rnacentral:rRNA from 1 species